UACUUUUUGUUUUGAAAUUAGGCAUUUGAUCUAUUCCCAUUUUACUAUACAUAAUAUGUACAAUUGCUGCGCGCACGCACGUAUGUAUGCCUGGAUCCUGAGUAUAGCUUCAGUAAGGCUUAAACCAACCAUGGACGCUGAUGUAAACUUACUUUGAUUUCUUUCUUAAUAGAUGACAUUCGUUUAAACAUCCAAACUCUUCUACCAAGUUUAACAUCAUCUGAAUAAAGAAUUAAAGAAAACACAGUUUAUAUAUGGAGAGUAGUUUGAAACCGGUCAUUCCAAGGGAAA
rnacentral:lncRNA from 1 species